UACGAAGGGGGCUAGCGUUGUUCGGAAUCACUGGGCGUAAAGGGCGCGUAGGCGGCGUUUUUAAGUCGGGGGUGAAAGCCUGUGGCUCAACCACAGAAUGGCCUCGAUACUGGGACGCUUGAGUAUGGUAGAGGUUGGUGGAACUGCGAGUGUAGAGGUGAAAUUCGUAGAUAUUCGCAAGAACACCGGUGGCGAAGGCGGCCAACUGGACCAUUACUGACGCUGAGGCGCGAAAGCGUGGGGAGCAAACAGG
rnacentral:rRNA from 1 species